AGUAAGGUCAGCUAAAUAAGCUCUUGGGCCCAUACCCCAAAUAUGUUGGUUAGAAUCCUUCCUUUACUA
rnacentral:tRNA from 1 species